UGUCCACCUAGGACGCCAGCGUGGAAACUCCUUUGCUCUCGCGUCGACACGUCAGCGUGUCAUUUAACGUUUGGGCUUCGAAUUAAUAUUGCUAAUGGGCUAUUGUAUUUCGUCGACAUGUCCGGCCGUGGAAGUGUGAGACGCCCACUAACCCUAGCUGUUCGCGCAGAUCUCUGAAUAGGUGAUCUUCUUCUCUGCGGCAGAAGCGUCUGUCCUUUGCGCUCCCUUCCCCUCGCUGAAACGGCCGAGCUUUAACAUCAUAUACAAUCCAUUCAAUUCCAUCUCCCGCUACGUUGUGAAUCAAUGCGUCGUUCAUGGCUCAUAAAUAUCCGUUGCUCCUCCGUCGUCGAGGCAAGACUGCUCCGGUCUUCGGUUCUGGGAGGCGAGAAAUAUCGCGAGCUCAUGUGGGUUGACAUGCUCUUCCUGGACGUCAACGCAAUUGAAGAACAAAGAUGAGGAUAGAGUAGUUAAGAACAAUGAAGGUCUGCCUCAGCCAUUUUUGGGAAGCUGCAAUGAUCGUGCAAGGCAGCUCCAGGCUUCUUCUUCAGGUCUUUUCCCAUGUUUAAAGGUUUUAUCUCUCUCACACUUCACUUUUUAUCAUUCAGAUUAUUUAUUUUUCACAAACAAUUCAGACUGUCGGCUGUGUUAUGUUGUCUUCGUUUAAUAUUUCUUUUUCAUCAAUCUAUUUCGUCAUCUACGGUUCUUUGCGAGACGAAUCCAUCACCAUUAAAAACUAUUGGGUUUGAAGUUUUUUAAGUAAUGUAAUCUUGGAAAAAGUUGAAUAAGGCAGCAGAGAAAUAAUAGCAUUAGCUUAUAGGUUGCUAAGUCAGCUACUUUCAGAACUAAAUUGCCUCACAGUUUUCUUUGUUGACUCGGUCAAGUUACUUGGUUUGAGGCUACAAGCAGUUCGCAAGUGAUUGACAUAAAUAUUCUGCCGUUCAGGCAUUCAAUCCCCUGGAGGUAGCAAAGAGUCAGACUCUGUGAAGGUUGCUAGAGGAGUUAAAGCUGUUUCCAGGAGGACACAGUCAUUGGUUGAGAGGUUUGAGAGAAGAGACACAAUUACACUUCCGGAAGAAAGAUAAAGCAGCAAUAGUUCAGAGCACUAAUGCUGUGGAGAAAGUGGCCAAAUCAUCAUCGAUACGAGCAGUUAGCAUAACGCCUACCCAGGUCAUGGAAGUUGAACUUGAUGAGGCAACUAACUUGACCACAGUUGAAACUCCUGUGAUAUUUAUUGCAAGAGCUAAUUGUAAUAUCCAGCUGUUUUUAAUCAACAAUGCAGUUCUCUGCAACUUUCUUACAUGUUUAUUUCUUAUUUAAUUUCUGGUUGGCUAUUACAUAUGUUGCUAACACUAUACACAAUUUUAUUGUGGCAUCAAUGAGAUGACGUCUACAAGUUUAA